AACCAAGUAAUGGAAACAUGAUUUUUUUUUCUUUUCUACAAAGCCUGCAAUGUCAUUUCUCAGACUCCAAAUGGAAAGUUUACUCUGGUAGUUCCACACCAGCAUCGAAACUGCAGCUUCUCCAUAAUUUAUCCUGCGGUGAUCAAAAUAUCUGAUCUCACCCUGGGACACGUAAAUGGUCUUCAGUUAAAGAAAUCCUCAGCAGGUUGCGAGGGAAUAGGAGACUUUGUGGAGCUGCUGGGAGGAACUGGAUUGGACCCUUCCAAGAUGAUGACUUUAGCUGAUCUCUGCUACCCGUUUCAUGGCCCGGUUUUGUUUAGGACCAGCCCAGAGUGCAAUCUUGCCUGUGUGGAAUGGAUGGGAUGAGAGAUGGAUGGGCCCAGCCUUAGAAGCAAGAUCUAGACCUAUAAGUAUAGUCAUCAGAAUGGAGAGGGAAGAACCCAGACUUUGGGGACCCAAUGUAGAGUCCUGCAUGACCCCUUGUUCACUAUCAAACUGACUUCCACAUACAGGAGCCCCAAAAGGCACAGGAAUGGAUGCCAACAGACUCAUUAGCACCUCCUCAAUAUCACCUCAGUCCACUUAACUGAUAAACAGCUGUUGAAGAUGGCAAGAGCCAAAAUAAAACCGAGUUCUCAGCCAAAUAAAAUAUCUCUGAAAAGAGG
rnacentral:sRNA from 1 species